AAAGAUUUAAUUUAAUAAAUUAAAAUAUUAGUUUGUCAAACUAAAAAUAUUAAUUUAAAUAUUAAUAAUCUUUU
rnacentral:tRNA from 1 species